rfam:Heterocephalus glaber contig65605, whole genome shotgun sequence.
GGAUGUGAGGGCGAUCUGGCUAUUACAUCUGUUACCCCGUUGAUCACCAGGGUUGAUUCAGCUGAUCUGGUGUCCCCUUCCUCCCUCACCUCUCCAUGUGCGCCCUUCCUGAAGCUGCACCCUCCUCAAAGAGGAUGACCAACCCCAAGAGGGAAGGACCAUUUCCCCAGUUGAACAAGGCAUAUGAGUAGCUGCACUCCCCUGCUUGAACCCCCAAACAAGCUCUCAAGAUGUAAUCAGUCAGGCUAUCUCUGUGCCUUCCUUUCAUUUUCUGUUUAUCACU